rnacentral:rRNA from 1 species
GUUAUAGGAUCAAGCGACUAAGUGCAUAUGGUGGAUGCCUUGGCGAUCACAGGCGAUGAAGGACGUAGUAGCCUGCGAAAAGCUACGGGGAGCUGGCAAACAAGCUUUGAUCCGUAGAUGUCCGAAUGGGGAAACCCACCGCAGCAAUGCGGUAUCCCUGGCUGAAUACAUAGGCCAGUGGAAGCGAACCGGGUGAACUGAAACAUCUCAGUAGCUCGAGGAAAAGAAAUCAACCGAGAUUCCGAAAGUAGUGGCGAGCGAAAUCGGAAGAGCCUUUACGUUUUAGCACGCAAGAUAGUCGAACGGAAUGGAAAGUCCGGCCGUAGCAGGUGAUAGCCCUGUAGGCGAAAUCUUGUGUGUGGAACUAAGCGUAAGAAAAGUAGGGCGGGACACGUGAAAUCCUGUUUGAAGAUGGGGGGACCAUCCUCCAAGGCUAAAUACUCGUGAUCGACCGAUAGUGAACCAGUACCGUGAGGGAAAGGCGAAAAGAACCCCGGAAGGGGAGUGAAAUAGAUCCUGAAACCGUAUGCAUACAAACAGUAGGAGCCUCCUUGUGGGGUGACUGCGUACCUUUUGUAUAAUGGGUCAGCGACUUACAUUCAGUGGCAAGGUUAACCGAAUAGGGAAGCCGUAGCGAAAGCGAGUCCGAAUAGGGCGAUUCAGUCGCUGGGUGUAGACCCGAAACCAGAUGAUCUAUCCAUGGCCAGGUUGAAGGCACGGUAACACGUGCUGGAGGACCGAACCCACUAAUGUUGAAAAAUUAGGGGAUGAGCUGUGGAUAGGGGUGAAAGGCUAAACAAAUCUGGAAAUAGCUGGUUCUCUCCGAAAACUAUUUAGGUAGUGCCUCAAGUAUUACUGCGGGGGGUAGAGCACUGUUAUAGCUAGGGGGUCAUGGCGACUUACCAAACUAUGGCAAACUCCGAAUACCCGCAAGUACAGCUUGGGAGACAGAGCACCGGGUGCUAACGUCCGGACUCAAGAGGGAAACAACCCAGACCGCCAGCUAAGGUCCCAAAUUAUCGCUAAGUGGGAAACGAAGUGGGAAGGCAUAGACAGUCAGGAGGUUGGCUUAGAAGCAGCCAUCCUUUAAAGAAAGCGUAAUAGCUCACUGAUCGAGUCGUCCUGCGCGGAAGAUGUAACGGGGCUAAGCGAUAAACCGAAGCUGCGGGUGUGCACUUUUAGUGCACGCGGUAGGAGAGCGUUCUGUAAGCCUGCGAAGGUGGCUUGUAAAGGCUGCUGGAGGUAUCAGAAGUGCGAAUGCUGACAUGAGUAGCGAUAAAGGGGGUGAAAAGCCCCCUCGCCGUAAGUCCAAGGUUUCCUGCGCAACGUUCAUCGGCGCAGGGUGAGUCGGCCCCUAAGGCGAGGCAGAGAUGCGUAGCUGAUGGGAAGCUGGUUAAUAUUCCAGCACCGUCGUACAGUGCGAUGGGGGGACGGAUCGCGGAAGAUCAUCAGGGUGUUGGAUGUCCCUGUUGCUG